CAAAGAACGUUCAGUGAACCUGAAUGAUGCUGAGUGAACAGAAAAAUAAAUGUUCAUGGGAGCUCACUGAAGAGUUCACUGUUUAGCCAAGCUGGUCUUCUGCCAUACAUGGUAGUCUUCCUGCACAUUGGAAUGGUUCACUCCUGCACCCUUAUUGCUGAAAAGCAAUAGGAAAUGGAUUGUUAUGGAUGCCCAUGUAAAAAGCAAGAUGAAGGAUAUGGGAAUGUGCAAAGAGGGCAAAGCUACACCAACUCAGGCAGAAGAUUUCAGGUUUACAAGUGGCUUACUCAGGAUAUGGAAAGUUGAACUCUUCACUGCAUGUACAACAGCACAGAUGUGAAAGGUCACACAAUGUAAUUUGUCCAAGAGCCAAAAUGGAGACAUGCUGAAUAUGUGAAUACCAAGGAAGUGGUUUCCUUAGCAAUAACAGGCGUGUGAAAGUCAAAACUUCCUUUCCUCCUCAUGUGACCUUUUUCAAAGCAAUUCAAGGAGGGACAAUAGAAUUGAAUUCCAAGCACCCACAGUAUUCAUGAAUUGCUAAACAAUGAUUUGCCAAGAAGCCAAAUUUCUUCAGCUUUUUACUAAGGCUCUAGGCACCUCACCAAAUAGGUGUGGAAUUUCUCAAGGACAGUCUAUAGAAGGAGGAUGGUUGAGUUUGGAGCCAGUCUCAGUGAGCAGCAUGUGAGAGCUGACAGGGAAAACCUCAUGUGAAGACUUCUGUGAAGAUUUGGGGGAGAAAGGUUUUCUAUAAUUUAGUAUCUUGUUUUCUCUGCCCUGCUUGGGCAACCUGGAAAGAGACAGUAGAAGUUUUCAACUAACAGUCAUACCUCUGUUCAACCUCACAGGCUACAAUACUGCCACUGUGCAAAGGAGAGGGUUUUGUUUAUGCAGGACACCCCAGCCAAACUCCACGAUCCCAGAUUUCAGGCUGGGGGCUCGAGUCACAGUGAAAGCUUAUUGGGAACUCCAGAAUUUGAACCUGACCCUUGUUGCUGCUGACUGGUGCCUGACCAAAGGGUUACAUGUGGUUGAAAGUGGAAUCUUGUGUAGGUAUUGAGAAGAGCUAAACAUUUCUAAUUAGUUUUCAUGAGGCUGCCACUCUUCUACCAAGGCUAGCUAUUACAACAUAUAUUCCUGUAUGUCCAGUGAAAUUUAGCCAUUCAUGCCUUUAGAAAAAUCUUUGGUCUUUUCUUAGCGCUUUAAGUCCACACAGUGUUUUAAAAUAUAUAUAUACUAUCUUAAUA